rnacentral:rRNA from 1 species
GACGAACGCUGGCGGCGUGCUUAACACAUGCAAGUCGAACGGAAAGGCCCUUCGGGGUACUCGAGUGGCGAACGGGUGAGUAACACGUGGGUGAUCUGCCCUGCACUUUGGGAUAAGCCUGGGAAACUGGGUCUAAUACCGAAUAGGACCACGCGCUUCAUGGUGUGUGGUGGAAAGCUUUUGCGGUGUGGGAUGGGCCCGCGGCCUAUCAGCUUGUUGGUGGGGUAAUGGCCUACCAAGGCGACGACGGGUAGCCGGCCUGAGAGGGUGACCGGCCACACUGGGACUGAGACACGGCCCAGACUCCUACGGGAGGCAGCAGUGGGGAAUAUUGCACAAUGGGCGCAAGCCUGAUGCAGCGACGCCGCGUGAGGGAUGACGGCCUUCGGGUUGUAAACCUCUUUCAAUAGGGACGAAGCGCAAGUGACGGUACCUAUAGAAGAAGCACCGGCCAACUACGUG